GAGAUGCCAAGCACUACAUGAGGUACCAGGCAUACCUCAGUAAAAAUAAUCAAGCGUGGCCUUUGUCUCUGUGGAGUCAACCAAUCAACAAAUAUAUGCUUAUUUAAACACAUCAUGGAUAUGGCAGACUGUGGCUCUGUCUUGGCGCUCUCUCUCUCUCCCUCUCAUCUCUCACUGUGGAGGAAGCCAGCUGCCAUAUGUGAGCUGCCUAGGAAGAGACCCACAUGUCCAGGAACUAAAACCUCUGGCCAAGCUCAGGGAGUAACUGAGGCUGCCCGCAGUAAGUGGGUUUCAAAAUGGAUACUUUGGCCCUGAUGCCCUGAGAUCCCUGCAGCCUCAACCGACACCUCAACUGCAAGCCUGUGAGACACCGGAGCCAGGAGCCCAGCAAAGCUGCUCCAGGUCCUCAGGCCUCAGAACUUGUGUAAGACAGCAAAUGUUAUAAGAUGCUAAAUGGUGGUGGUGGUGGGGUUGUUAUUUGGUGAUAGAAAAUCAAUACACUGACCUAAUAUGAGAUUUUUUAAAUCAUAAAGUUAUAAUGAUUUAAGUACUUCGGCAUUUAACCUGUAGUGUGUAGAAUAUGCAUCAAUUUAUUGAAGAGGAUUCAUGUUUUUAUAAGAAUUUUCAUGUAAUUAUUGCAAUUGUGGUCAAAUAAGGAACAUUUUCUGCUUGAAACUGUAUUGAUUUAAAUGAUGUGUGAGAUGUUUCACCAUUUUCAGGCACUGUGUAAUUCUAUUGUAAUAAACUGGCAGGUAUCUUUGUAACUAUAAAUAGUGCAUGCUCGGCCAUGUACACUGCAAAUAGCCUUUACCAAAUGUGUUUGACAAGGACCAUAAUUAACAUCACUUAGUGAGUUGUGAUAAAGAAAAAAGCCAUGAUUUAUUUGAUGUGACUGGCUUAAUUGUUUCUAUGUGGCACCAAGAAUGAAACUGUUUAACAGCUGUAACCAAUGGUACUGAUCUAUCCAUCCAGUGUUGUCUUUAUUAUAUUUGGUUGUGGUUUGGUAGUAUUACAUUGUCAGACUAGGAAGGCUGAAGAAACAGAGUGGUUUUAGUUUUGCUGAAGACCGGCCUUAUUCAUGGACAGCUUUCCUAACAAGCAGUUACUAACUUUUAUCAGGUGUUAACAUCUGUUCAGGAACAUGGGAGUAUGUUUACAUGUCAGAAGUUUUGUUUAAUUCUAUGGUAUUUCUAAAUUGAUUUGUUAAAAUAAAUUCAGCAAAUGGAA
ensembl:lncRNA